CGAACCUGCCUCAUACAGAGGGAUAAUCAUGUGAAAACGUGACUAAUACCGCAUGUCAUUUGUUGAAGGCAUCUUCGACAAAGAAAAGGAGCAAUCCGGUAUGAGAUGGGCCCGCAUCUGAUUAGCUAGUUGGUGAGAUAACAGCCCACCAAGGCGACGAUCAGUAGCCGACCUGAGAGGGUGAUCGGCCACAUUGGGACUGAGACACGGCCCAA
rnacentral:rRNA from 1 species